ACAUGGCUGGCUCAGUGGGUAGAGCAUGUGACUCUUGAUCUCAAGGCUGUGAGUUCGAGCCCUAUGUUGGGUA
rnacentral:tRNA from 1 species